UUUCCUUUCUCAACCACAGUUCUGCGUCACGAACGAUCCCUCCCUGCUUCUCCAAGAAGCAGUGCGAGGUCCGAACGUCCGUGACGAUCUCGACCCUCUGCGCGGAGCACAUUUUAGCCCCCCCAUAAUGUUUAUCUUCCCGGUCGACAGAACUGAGAGCAACCCCUUCUCGAACCUUUCGCCCUGCACAUGCCGUGCGGGCGCAGUCGCGCUCGAGCUCGGUCCUUGAGACGUCGCCUUUGCUUUGAGGUCGUUCGCGCGAUCUUGGCGGGGCUUCCGAACGGGGUACUUUGAUUAGCUCGGCGGGCUGAUGGUCGGGGAGGGGAGACGUCUUAUUCCCAAGCUUGGUGUACAAGCCCCGUCGGGGCAUGAUCAUUGGGCAAAACCAAGACUGUUGUCUACAGAU
rnacentral:sRNA from 1 species